AUUGUUUGGUAAUGAGGCCCUGGAAUGAGCGCUGGGCACAGCGCCGGAGUCAGACUGCGGAGACAUGCCUUGCUCCUUCCUCCUGAGAACAGC
rnacentral:snoRNA from 1 species